rnacentral:rRNA from 1 species
UAGAGAUAGAAAGUUACGUUCGGUACAUCGGUGACAGGUGGUGCAUGGUUGUCGUCAGCUCGUGUCGUGAGAUGUUGGUUAAGUCCCGCAACGAGCGCAACCCCUAUUGUUAGUUGCCAUCAUUCAGUUGGGCACUCUAGCGAGACUGCCGGUAAUAAACCGGAGGAAGUGGGGAUGACGUCAAAUCAUCAUGCCCCUUAUGACCUGGGCUACACACGUGCUACAAUGGUUGGUACAACGAGUUGCGAGUCGGUGACGGCGAGCUAAUCUCUUAAAGCCAAUCUCAGUUCGGAUUGUAGGCUGCAACUCGCCUACAUGAAGUCGGAAUCGCUAGUAAUCGCGGAUCAGCACGCCGCGGUGAAUACGUUCCCGGGCCUU